ACGAAAGUCUGACGGAGCAACGCCGCGUGAGCGAAGAAGGCCUUCGGGUCGUAAAGCUCUGUUGUUAGGGAAGAACAAGUACCGGAGUAACUGCCGGUACCUUGACGGUACCUAACCAGAAAGCCACGGCUAACUACGUGCCAGCAGCCGCGGUAAUACGUAGGUGGCAAGCGUUGUCCGGAAUUAUUGGGCGUAAAGCGCGCGCAGGCGGUCUCUUAAGUCUGAUGUGAAAGCCCCCGGCUCAACCGGGGAGGGUCAUUGGAAACUGGGAGACUUGAGUGCAGAAGAGAAGAGCGGAAUUCCACGUGUAGCGGUGAAAUGCGUAGAGAUGUGGAGGAACACCAGUGGCGAAGGCGGCUCUUUGGUCUGUAACUGACGCUGAGGCGCGAAAGCGUGGGGAGCGAACAGGAUUAGAUACCCUGGUAGUCCACGCCGUAAACGAUGAGUGCUAAGUGUUAGAGGGUUUCCGCCCUUUAGUGCUGCAGCAAACGCAUUAAGCACUCUGCCUGGGGAGUA
rnacentral:rRNA from 1 species